GGGACGAACGCUGGCGGCGUGCUUAACACAUGCAAGUCGAGCGGAAAGGCCCUUCGGGGUACUCGAGCGGCGAACGGGUGAGUAACACGUGAGUAAUCUGCCCCUAGCUCUGGGAUAGCUCCGGGAAACCGGGAUUAAAUACCGGAUACGACCACUUUAGACAUCUGUUGUGGUGGAAAGAAUUUUGGCUAGGGAUGAGCUCGCGGCCUAUCAGCUUGUUGGUGGGGUAAUGGCCUACCAAGGCGACGACGGGUA
rnacentral:rRNA from 1 species